GAAGAGGGUGGUGUUUGCACCAAAUUCUCUGCUUCCUUCAAAAACACUGAAAAGGGAAAAUGUUUUUCCUGUUAGUGACUGGUCUAAUUACUAUUUCUGCUUGCAUGAGAAUAUAUCCCAAAUAUUCUGCUUGCAUGAGAAUAUAUCCCAAAUUUAGAGAGGGAUUUUUUUGGGGGUCCUGUUAACCUGAGAAAGCUUGUUGGUUUUUAUUUUUGUUUUAUUAUUCCUGGCAGUAGAAUUACAUUCACUGUUCCUCCUAUUUAGAAUCUAACUUUUAAAUACUGUGGGAACUGUAAUGUAACCGUCUCCAUGAAGUGUCAGGUUGCCAUUCAUAAGAGAACCUUUUGGGGGUUUUGGGGUGUUUUUUUAACCAGUGGAUCAUCUAGGCUGGGGAUGAGUGGGGCUGUUGAGCAGAAGCACUGGAGACAAUGUUGGUCAGGUAGGUACCCUUUAGCUGGUGGUAGUUAAUACUAUCCUGUUGAAUCCUGAUAAAACUUACUGAAAAUAGUCAGAGGUUUGUGCAUACUAGUAUUAUUUUUUUCCUAAAGGCAAUAGGAUGUUCAUAGGCAUUUCUUUGUUCCUAAGGCAAACAUAGUAUUGAUACAGAAGUGUUUUUUCUUGGGACAUCAGCAUUGAGUCUGGUUAAUGUUACUUCUGUAUGCAUACGUAUCCUUCUAGGCUUGUAAUAUUAUCUGGAAUUCCCAGUUUUCUGCAACAGCUUUGUUAUUAGAUGUGUGCUGUCUGAAGUCUGCACUUCAGUUACCUUCAUUAUCAUGAUGAUAUCAAGGUCACACCUAACAGCCAGACAGCCCAGGUCAUAUAUCUGUGGGGAAAAGGAGAGGUGCACAGGGAACAGUGGUAGAACAAGGGGUUAUGGAGGAAUAGGGACUGUAUAAUUUACUUACCUGUGUGGGAAAUGUCUACAUCUAGUUACAAAUGAAAAUUUCUUAGAUCUUUUCUCAAACUUGUAUUUUUUGUAUUUGCCUGAAAUAAGGAUAGUGGAGAGAUAAUGACAUUACCAGAGAUGUGGAACAAAUUCUCAAAGGAGUAUAAUUAUGCUGUUCUGGGGAAGAUUAUAUUUUAAAAUAUCGAUAUGCUUCAGCAGCUCUGAAAAGAAAAGUGGGAAGAAGGAAAAAGAGCAGCUGACAUACAUCAGAAGUUGGGGAUACUGGAAAUACUGCCUUGCCCUCCUGAAUGUUGUCUGACAAAGUAGAAUGCUGUAUAAAACUCUUCAGUUACAGUGAUGGGUCUCUCCACAUUUUGUUUUGGAGGAUGUUUAAAGAAAAUAAGUAAAAGCAGGCAUUUCCCACAGUCAUGGCUUGCCUUUGCCUUUGUUUUGUCUGCCCUGUGCCAGGGAGGCACUGUAUAUUGCGUGCUUGGCAAAACAUCUUGCUUUUCCUUCCUAUUUGAUACCACUAAUCCUCAGUGUGACCUUGCAAAGCGACUAGAGAUGCUGAAGAAACUUCAAGCAAAAACUGGUUUUAUUUGAGCCAGGUGGUGGGUUGAGUUCUUGAUUACUGAGUUAGCACAAACAAAAAUUGUAAAGCACAACAACAAAGUACAGACACAGAGACCUGUCAUACAUUCUGUUCAACCUGUUUCUCCAGGAUUUUGUCCACAGUGUUUUAUAGCUACAGAAAUCUGAGGAUCCAGCUCAGCGUAGGUGCUCUUUCCCAUGAUAAUGCUCUCUUUCUAAGAGGGAGCCUUUCCUAGAAUUAAAGGAAGAAUAUUUCAGAUCACA